AUACGUAGGGCGCGAGCGUUGUUCGGAAUUACUGGGCGUAAAGCGCGUGUAGGUGGCCAGGUAAGUCAGGUGUGAAAGCCCUCGGCUCAACCGGGGAAGUGCACCUGAAACUGCCUGGCUAGAGGGCGGCAGAGGGAGGUGGAAUUCCUGGUGUAGAGGUGAAAUUCGUAGAUAUCAGGAGGAAUACCGGUGGCGAAGGCGGCCUCCUGGACCGUUCCUGACACUGAGACGCGAAAGCGUGGGGAGCAAACAGGAUUAGAAACCCUAGUAGUCC
rnacentral:rRNA from 1 species